GUGCUCGCUUCGGCAGCACAUAUACUAAAAAUUGGAAUGAUACAGAGAAGAUUAGCACGGUCCCUACGCAAGGAUGACACGCAAAUUCAUGAAGCGUUCCAUAUUUUU
rnacentral:snRNA from 1 species